GAGUUUGAUCGUGGCUCAGGACGAACGCUGGCGGCGCGCUUAACACAUGCAAGUCGAGCGAGAACCAGACCUUCGGGUCUGGGGACAGCGGCGAACGGGUGAGUAACACGUGGGUAAUCAACCCUCGGUACUGGGAUAGCCCGGGGAAACCCGGAUUAAUACCGGAUGGCCCUUCGAAUCUUCGGGUUUGAAGGAAAAGGUAGCUUCGGCCUCCGACCGAGGACGAGCCCGCGGCGGAUUAGCUUGUUGGUGGGGUAACGGCCUACCAAGGCGACGAUCCGUAGCUGGUCUGAGAGGACGAUCAGCCACACUGGGACUGAGACACGGCCCAGACUCCUACGGGAGGCAGCAGUGGGGAAUCUUGCGCUAAUGCGGGAAACCGUGACGCAGCGACGCCGCGUGGGGGAAGAAGGCCUUCGGGUUGUAA
rnacentral:rRNA from 1 species